AUGAACGCUAGCUACAGGCUUAACACAUGCAAGUCGAGGGGCAGCAUUUCAGUUUGCUUGCAAACUGGAGAUGGCGACCGGCGCACGGGUGAGUAACACGUAUCCAACCUGCCGAUAACUCGGGGAUAGCCUUUCGAAAGAAAGAUUAAUACCCGAUGGCAUAAUUAGACCGCAUGGUCUUAUUAUUAAAGAAUUUCGGUUAUCGAUGGGGAUGCGUUCCAUUAGGCAGUUGGUGAGGUAACGGCUCACCAAACCUUCGAUGGAUAGGGGUUCUGAGAGGAAGGUCCCCCACAUUGGAACUGAGACACGGUCCAAACUCCUACGGGAGGCAGCAGUGAGGAAUAUUGGUCAAUGGGCGCAGGCCUGAACCAGCCAAGUAGCGUGAAGGAUGACUGCCCUAUGGGUUGUAAACUUCUUUUAUAUGGGAAUAAAGUUUUCCACGUGUGGAAUUUUGUAUGUACCAUAUGAAUAAGGAUCGGCUAACUCCGUGCCAGCAGCCGCGGUAAUACGGAGGAUCCGAGCGUUAUCCGGAUUUAUUGGGUUUAAAGGGAGCGUAGGUGGACAGUUAAGUCAGUUGUGAAAGUUUGCGGCUCAACCGUAAAAUUGCAGUUGAUACUGGCUGUCUUGAGUACAGUAGAGGUGGGCGGAAUUCGUGGUGUAGCGGUGAAAUGCUUAGAUAUCACGAAGAACUCCGAUUGCGAAGGCAGCUCACUGGACUGCAACUGACACUGAUGCUCGAAAGUGUGGGUAUCAAACAGGAUUAGAUACCCUGGUAGUCCACACAGUAAACGAUGAAUACUCGCUGUUUGCGAUAUACAGUAAGCGGCCAAGCGAAAGCAUUAAGUAUUCCACCUGGGGAGUACGCCGGCAACGGUGAAACUCAAAGGAAUUGACGGGGGCCCGCACAAGCGGAGGAACAUGUGGUUUAAUUCGAUGAUACGCGAGGAACCUUACCCGGGCUUAAAUUGCAUUUGAAUAAUCUGGAAACAGGUUGGCCGCAAGGCAAAUGUGAAGGUGCUGCAUGGUUGUCGUCAGCUCGUGCCGUGAGGUGUCGGCUUAAGUGCCAUAACGAGCGCAACCCUUAUCUUUAGUUACUAACAGGUCAUGCUGAGGACUCUAGAGAGACUGCCGUCGUAAGAUGUGAGGAAGGUGGGGAUGACGUCAAAUCAGCACGGCCCUUACGUCCGGGGCUACACACGUGUUACAAUGGGGGGUACAGAAGGCAGCUACCUGGUGACAGGAUGCUAAUCCCAAAAGCCUCUCUCAGUUCGGAUCGAAGUCUGCAACCCGACUUCGUGAAGCUGGAUUCGCUAGUAAUCGCGCAUCAGCCAUGGCGCGGUGAAUACGUUCCCGGGCCUUGUACACACCGCCCGUCAAGCCAUGAAAGCCGGGGGUACCUGAAGUACGUAACCGCAAGGAGCGUCCUAGGGUAAAACUGGUAA
rnacentral:rRNA from 1 species